GACCCCAGUGUGUAGUGCUCCCUUCCCUGUGUCCAUGUGUUCUCAUUGUUCAUCACCCACCUAUGAGUGAGAAUAUGCAGUAUUUCAUUUUCUGUUCUUGUGUCAGUUUGCUGAGAAUGAUGUUCUCCAGUUUCAUCCAUGUCCCUACAAAUGACACAAACUCAUCAUUUUUUAUUGCUGUAUAAUAUUCCAUGGUGUAUAUGUGCCACAUUUUCCCAUAAUAUUCCAUGGUGUAUAUGUGCCACAUUUUUCCAAUCCAGUCUAUUAUCAAUGGGCAUUUGGGUUGAUUCCAGGUCUUUGCUAUUGUAAACAGUGCUGCAAUGAACAUUGGUGUAUAUGUGUCCUUAUAGUAGAACGAUUUAUAGUCUUUUGGAUAUAUACCCAGUAAUGGGAUUGCUGGGUCAAAUGGAAUUUCUAUUUCUAAGGCCUUGAGGAAUCGCCACAUUGUCUUCCACAAUGGUUGAACUAAUUUACACUCCCACCAACAGUGUAAAAGUGUUCCUUUUUCUCCACAUCCUCUCCAGCAUCUGUUGUCUCCAGAUUUUUUAAUGAUCGCCAUUCUAACUGGCGUGAGAUGGUAUCUCAAUGUGGUUUUGAUUUGCAUCUCUCUGAUGACCAGUGACGAUGAGCAUUUUUCAAAGCGGAAAAAGUGACAUAAGGAUGUUGAGCAGACCCCUUUUCAUUUUAUUUCUAUGGAUCAUCUCAUGAUUCUAAUUCAAGUGUAUUAGCAGAAGUUGAAUUCUCUUGAUGGUACAAUCAUAUAAGAUAUGCUGCUAAAAUAUACACCUAAUUGUCAUAUUCCUUUAAAUACACCCUGAAAGCAUUUAUUCUUUCCAUUCUGUCUUCUCCAUUCCACUACCAUAACUUGAGUUCAGGUGAACUCUUCUCUCCCUGGACUAUACAUCCCAGUAAUCUACUAUAAGUACACAUGUCUCCAAUCAUUUCAUGCCAGAUGCUAAUGUAACUUUCUGCUCACCUCACUAACCUUAUAUUUUUGAAA
rnacentral:lncRNA from 1 species